AGACCCGAAACCCGGUGAUCUAGCCAUGGGCAGGUUGAAGGUUGGGUAACACUAACUGGAGGACCGAACCGACUAAUGUUGAAAAAUUAGCGGAUGACCUGUGGCUGGGGGUGAAAGGCCAAUCAAACCGGGAGAUAGCUGGUUCUCCCCGAAAGCUAUUUAGGUAGCGCCUCGUGAAUUCAUCUCCGGGGGUAGAGCACUGUUUCGGCUAGGGGGCCAUCCCGGCUUACCAACCCGAUGCAAACUGCGAAUACCGGAGAAUGUUAUCACGGGAGACACACGGCGGGUGCUAACGUCCGUCGUGAAGAGGGAAACAACCCAGACCGCCAGCUAAGGUCCCAAAGUCAUGGUUAAGUGGGAAACGAUGUGGGAAGGCCCAGACAGCCAGGAUGUUGGCUUAGAAGCAGCCAUCAUUUAAAGAAAGCGUAAUAGCUCACUGGUCGAGUCGGCCUGCGCGGAAGAUGUAACGGGGCUAAACCAUGCACCGAAGCUGCGGCAGCGACACUCAGGUGUUGUUGGGUAGGGGAGCGUUCUGUAAGCCUGCGAAGGUGGCCUGUGAGGGUUGCUGGAGGUAUCAGAAGUGCGAAUGCUGACAUAAGUAACGAUAAAGCGGGUGAAAAGCCCGCUCGCCGGAAGACCAAGGGUUCCUGUCCAACGUUAAUCGGGGCAGGGUGAGUCGACCCCUAAGGCGAGGCCGAAAGGCGUAGUCGAUGGGAAACGGGUUAAUAUUCCCGUACUUGGUGUUACUGCGAAGGGGGGACGGAGAAGGCUAUGUUGGCCGGGCGACGGUUGUCCCGGUUUAAGCGUGUAGGUGUGUGUUCCAGGUAAAUCCGGUUCACUUUAACACUGAGGCGUGACGACGAGGCACUACGGUGCUGAAGCAACAAAUGCCCUGCUUCCAGGAAAAGCCUCUAAGCAUCAGGUAACAUCAAAUCGUACCCCAAACCGACACAGGUGGUCAGGUAGAGAAUACCAAGGCGCUUGAGAGAACUCGGGUGAAGGAACUAGGCAAAAUGGUGCCGUAACUUCGGGAGAAGGCACGCUGACAUGUAGGUGAAGUGAUUUACUCAUGGAGCUGAAGUCAGUCGAAGAUACCAGCUGGCUGCAACUGUUUAUUAAAAACACAGCACUGUGCAAACACGAAAGUGGACGUAUACGGUGUGACGCCUGCCCGGUGCCGGAAGGUUAAUUGAUGGGGUCAGCGCAAGCGAAGCUCCUGAUCGAAGCCCCGGUAAACGGCGGCCGUAACUAUAACGGUCCUAAGGUAGCGAAAUUCCUUGUCGGGUAAGUUCCGACCUGCACGAAUGGCGUAAUGAUGGCCAGGCUGUCUCCACCCGAGACUCAGUGAAAUUGAACUCGCUGUGAAGAUGCAGUGUACCCGCGGCAAGACGGAAAGACCCCGUGAACCUUUACUAUAGCUUGACACUGAACAUUGAGCCUUGAUGUGUAGGAUAGGUGGGAGGCUUUGAAGUGUGGACGCCAGUCUGCAUGGAGCCGGCCUUGAAAUACCACCCUUUAAUGUUUGAUGUUCUAACGUGGACCCGUGAUCCGGGUUGCGGACAGUGUCUGGUGGGUAGUUUGACUGGGGCGGUCUCCUCCUAAAGAGUAACGGAGGAGCACGAAGGUUGGCUAAUCCUGGUCGGACAUCAGGAGGUUAGUGCAAUGGCAUAAGCCAGCUUGACUGCGAGCGUGACGGCGCGAGCAGGUGCGAAAGCAGGUCAUAGUGAUCCGGUGGUUCUGAAUGGAAGGGCCAUCGCUCAACGGAUAAAAGGUACUCCGGGGAUAACAGGCUGAUACCGCCCAAGAGUUCAUAUCGACGGCGGUGUUUGGCACCUCGAUGUCGGCUCAUCACAUCCUGGGGCUGAAGUAGGUCCCAAGGGUAUGGCUGUUCGCCAUUUAAAGUGGUACGCGAGCUGGGUUUAGAACGUCGUGAGACAGUUCGGUCCCUAUCUGCCGUGGGCGCUGGAGAACUGAGGGGGGCUGCUCCUAGUACGAGAGGACCGGAGUGGACGCAUCACUGGUGUUCGGGUUGUCAUGCCAAUGGCACUGCCCGGUAGCUAAAUGCGGAAGAGAUAAGUGCUGAAAGCAUCUAAGCACGAAACUUGCCCCGA
rnacentral:rRNA from 1 species